rnacentral:lncRNA from 1 species
GGAAAAUGAAUCAUGUUCUCACCUGAUGUUAUACAUGACUAUUACCAACUGAGUUGGAACGAUGUGGUCCCCAUCCCAGGUAAUUUCAAUUAGAAAGAAGUAGCUGAGGUGCUCUUGGGACGAGAAAAUGCAUGGCCCCUCCCAGCAGUAGAUUGGUACCAGAUCGAGCUCACGUUAUCUAUAGCUAUCCUAUGGCUAUUUAUGUGUCACAAUAUUGAACCCAUCUUACAUUGGACAACAUUCACUAAUUCGAAGGCAAGUUUCAUAUAUCAUCUGGUUUGGGGAAACAAAAUUGAUCUGGCCACCUACAUUUAUAAUCAAAUACACACAAUUGAAACAUGAGGUGACAUAUAUAGUUCAAUGAUAUUCCCGAGCCUAAUAAUUGGGAUUUGUGGGGCUGCAGGUGUCACUAUCCCAUCAGGGGAAGCUUUUGAGAAACCUAGCCCUUUCAUCAAGCAUACUACAAUAGAGGCUCGGGAUCGAGCCAGGGAAAAGUAUCAAGAAAAGCCAGAGAAUGAGCGACAUAGGUAGCAACAGGCUAAGGCAGGACAUGCAGCUGAAGAUAUAGAGAUGGCACAAGCUCCUCUAGCACCUGUUGAUGUUGAUACACAACUAUUGAGGUAGAUGUUCGCUACUAUGAUCGGGUCCAGUCGGGACAUUCAAAGCCUUCAGCAAACAUUUGGGGCUAUGAGUACAAACAUCUAGCAGGCGCGGAACAACAUAGCAAUCACAUGAAACUUCGCAUCAAAUGUCAGUAGAGAGUUCCUUGCAACACGGAUAGAGGUUGACACCAUUAAUAGGAGAUUGGGCAUGUACGUCGGCUGGAUAGACGACAUCCAAUGGAGAGCAAAUGAGACAUGGGACCAUCUAGGCAGUUUGGAGACUAGGGUUCAAGCUAUGCAAGUAGAGAAUGCCAGCAAUCCGAACUAUUGAGGCAGAUCUUGUCCCGCUUACCUCCACCACUUAGAGAUGACACAACAAGUCUUAGCUUUUCGUCAGCACCACUAUAUUGAUCAUGGGAGUGUCGAAUAACCCACUUUUGUACUUGCAUUUUUUAUUUUGUACUUCAAAUUAUGUCUUUUUAAACUUGCACGUAUUCAAACAUCGAGGACAAUAUAUUGUAUAAGUUUGGGAAAGGUGGCAUAAUUUGGCACUUAAGCUUUUGGCAUCUGCA